rnacentral:rRNA from 1 species
UACGAAGGGAGCUAGCGUUGUUCGGAAUCACUGGGCGUAAAGCGCACGUAGGCGGAUUUGUCAGUCAGGGGUGAAAUCCCGGGGCUCAACCUCGGAACUGCCUUUGAUACAGCAAGUCUUGAGUUCGAGAGAGGUGGGUGGAAUUCCUAGUGUAGAGGUGAAAUUCGUAGAUAUCAGGAGGAACACCAGUGGCGAAGGCGGCUUCCUGGACACCAACUGACGCUGAGACGCGAAAGCGUGGGGAGCAAACAGG